GCGGGAAAACAAACAACAAAAAAACAAAAAACCAAAAAAAAAAAAAAGAGAAUCAUAACAAAUAGCCAACCAUUUUUCCUUUUUUUUUUUUUUUUUUUUUUU
rnacentral:ribozyme from 1 species